CGUUUUGAAACCUUCACUUAGGAAAACUGUAAAACUAAGCAAUCAUACAGAAAACACAUCAGUAUCUCACUGGAAAUACAUUUAUUGUCUCAGGGAAAUCACACAAAAUGACACUCAAAAAUGUCUAA